rnacentral:tRNA from 1 species
GCGCCUGUAGCUCAGUGGAUAGAGCGAAGGGUUUCUAACCCUUAGGUCGCGGGUUCGAGUCCUGCCAGGCGCA